GACGAACGCUGGCGGCGUGCUUAACACAUGCAAGUCGAACGGAAAGGCCCUGCUUUUGUGGGGUUCUCGAGUGGCGAACGGGUGAGUAACACGUGAGUAACCUGCCCUUGACUUUGGGAUAACUUCAGGAAACUGGGGCUAAUACCGGAUAGGAGCUCCUGCUGCGUGGUGGGGGUUGGAAAGUUUCGGCGGUUGUGGAUGGACUCGCGGCUUAUCAGCUUGUUGGUGGGGUAGUGGCUUACCAAGGCUUUGACGGGUAGCCGGCCUGAGAGGGUGACCGGCCACAUUGGGACUGAGAUACGGCCCAGACUCCUACGGGAGGCAGCAGUGGGGAAUAUUGCACAAUGGGCGGAAGCCUGAUGCAGCAACGCCGCGUGCGGGAUGACGGCCUUCGGGUUGUAAACCGCUUUCGCCUGUGACGAAGCGUGAGUGACGGUAAUGGGUAAAGAAGCACCGGCUAACUACGUG
rnacentral:rRNA from 1 species